GGCUCAGAUGAAACGCUGGCGGCGUGCCUAACACAUGCAAGUCGAGCGGUAACAGGUGUAGCAAUACAUGCUGACGAGCGGCGAACGGGUGAGUAAUGCUUCGGAAUCUACCUUAUGGUGGGGAAUAACUAGUCGAAAGAUUAGCUAAUACCGCAUACGUCCUACGGGAGAAAGCAGGGGAUCGCAAGACCUUGCGCCAAAAGAUGAGCCGAAGUCGGAUUAGCUAGUUGGUAGGGUAACGGCCUACCAAGGCGACGAUCCGUAGCUGGUCUGAGAGGACGACCAGCCACACUGGAACUGAGACACGGUCCAGACUCCUACGGGAGGCAGCAGUGGGGAAUAUUGGACAAUGGGGGAAACCCUGAUCCAGCGACGCCGCGUGUGUGAAGAAGGCCUGCGGGUUGUAAAGCACUUUUAGUGGGGAUGAAAUGUGCAGGGUUAAUACCUCUGUACUUUGACCUAACCCACAGAAAAAGCACCGGCUAACUCUGUGCCAGCAGCCGCGGUAAUACAGAGGGUGCAAGCGUUAAUCGGAAUUACUGGGCGUAAAGCGUGCGUAGACGGUUACAUAAGUCGGGUGUGAAAGCCCCGGGCUCAACCUGGGAAUUGCAUUCGAGACUGCGUAGCUAGGGUGCGGAAGAGGGAAGCGGAAUUUCCGGUGUAGCGGUGAAAUGCGUAGAUAUCGGAAGGAACACCAGUGGCGAAAGCGGCUUCCUGGUCCAGCACCGACGUUCAGGCACGAAAGCGUGGGGAGCAAACAGGAUUAGAUACCCUGGUAGUCCACGCCAUAAACGAUGAGAACUAGACGUUGAAGGGGUAAGCCCUCCAGUGUCGUAGCUAACGCGCUAAGUUCUCCGCCUGGGGAGUACGGCCGNCAGGGUGAAACUC
rnacentral:rRNA from 1 species